UUAAAUUUAAAAGGGAGAGAGAGAGAGAGAAAUUUAGGUGAAAUCCCUUUUAAAACACUCAGUUGUAAUCUCCCAUUCACAGCUGCUGCCAAUACUGACCUUUCAACUGUGUCAUUUAUAUGAAGUGUUUUGCGUAAGGGAUAAACAUCAGUUCUACAGAAAUGCCCAGUUAGCAAGAAUUAGGAUUAUAUUUAAUGAGGAUUUGAUUACCAUGAAACUGUGAAGUAUGUGUGUGCAUGUGUGUGCAAGGAACAGUUUUCCCAUGAAUAAGUGCAAUUUGCAGUAUUUUGCUGGAGAGGUCUAUGGUGGCUUUUCUUCAAAAGGAUGCUGUGACAGAUAUGGCAAGUUCCUGCAACAUCCUGGCAAACCUUAUUGAAUUAAGUUUAAGUAUUUUAGGAGUUCAUUGCAUUAAAAAUCCAAAUAUUACUGUGGACCGUAUGUAACUUCUCUAAGAGCCAUGACGAAUGUAAAUCUUAGGAAAUGUUACGAGCUUCAAAGGAGUCUUUGAAACAAUGUGCUAGCUCAAUAAACAAAGGACCAGACCAGAGACCCAAAGUGGAUAAAAGAGUGACUCAUAAAUUCAUGGGUGUGUUUGUUCUGAGCUAAUGGCUGUUAUGAACUUGUGACUGCAGAAAAAUCCCUUGGUGAUGGAUUUUAACGUUCACUGGCCAGAGCCCUG